rnacentral:tRNA from 3 species
AAAGAAUUAGUUAAAAUAACAUUAAAUUGUCAAUUUAAAAUUAUUAUGUAAAUAAUAUUCUUUU